UGCAGAAGAGGGUUAUAGUUUGAUCAUGGCUCAGGAUGAACGCUGGCGGCGCGCCUAACACGUGCAAGUCGAGCGAGGCACUUUACUUUGAUUCUUCGGAUGAAGAGUUUUGAGACUGAGCGGCGGACGGGUGAGUAACGCGUGGGUAACCUGCCUCAUACAGGGGGAUAACAGUUAGAAAUGACUGCUAAUACCGCAUAAGACCACAGCACCGCAUGGUGCAGGGGUAAAAACUCCGGUGGUAUGAGAUGGACCCGCGUCUGAUUAGCUAGUUGGUAAGGUAACGGCUUACCAAGGCAACGAUCAGUAGCCGACCUGAGAGGGUGACCGGCCACAUUGGGACUGAGACACGGCCCAAACUCCUACGGGAGGCAGCAGUGGGGAAUAUUGCACAAUGGGGGAAACCCUGAUGCAGCGACGCCGCGUGAGCGAAGAAGUAUUUCGGUAUGUAAAGCUCUAUCAGCAGGGAAGAAACUGACGGUACCUGACUAAGAAGCACCGGCUAAAUACGUGCCAGCAGCCGCGGUAAUACGUAUGGUGCAAGCGUUAUCCGGAUUUACUGGGUGUAAAGGGAGCGUAGACGGAUAGGCAAGUCUGGAGUGAAAGCCCGGGGCUCAACCCCGGGACUGCUUUGGAAACUGUUUAUCUAGAGUGCUGGAGAGGUAAGUG
rnacentral:rRNA from 1 species